GAUGAAGAACGUAGCGAAAUGCGAUACUUGGUGUGAAUUGCAGAAUCCCGAGAACCAUCGAGUCUUUGAACGCAAGUUGCGCCCGAAGCCAUCAGGUUGAGGGCACGUCUGCCUGGGCGUCACAUAUCGUUGCCCAAUGCCUAUUGCAGUGCAAUAGGAAUUUCUAGGGCGAAUGAUGGCUUCCCGUGAGCGUUGUUGCCUCGCGGUUGGUUGAAAAUCGAGUCCUUGGUAGGGUGUGCCAUGGUAGAUGGUGGUCGAGUUAGAACGAUACCGAUCAUGUGCAUGCUCCCCAAAAUAUGGCCUCUAUGACCCACACGCGUCUUUUGACGCUCAUGACGAGACCUCAGGUCAGGCGGGGCUACCCGCUGAAUUUAAGCAUAUCAAUAAGCGGAGGA
rnacentral:misc_RNA from 1 species